GUCCAGGAGCACGGCGGCCCGCCCGGCUCCGCUCGCGUGGGAGAGGAUGCGCCCCGGGCCGAGGCCCCUCCCCGCGGGGCUGCGGGUUGGAGAAGGCGCUUCCUUAGAGGGGUGUGUUGCGGGAUGGGGGUGUCCUGGCACCGGGCGCCCUUUCCGGCUCCAUGUAGAGCCACACCAUCGCGGCUCUGCACUAGAUUGCGUGCGCAGGAUCUCCUCCCUUCAAGGCAGGUUGAGUCGACAGGGUUCGCUCCCGUCCUGGGAGUCUACUCCUCAUCUUGGACUUCCUUCUUUCUCUGAACACCUACUGUGUACCAGCGUGGCGCUGAGGAAGCAUAUGUGAAGACAGGACAAUGUGUGGAGUGCCUUGGAAGUGUGCGUGACUGUUGCUGCUGACAGCCGAGCGGGGAAAGCCACAUUUUGCUUGGUUUGUGUCAGUAGCAUCAUCUACCAUCCCUGUCAUCUUCCAUGGAAAGUGGAAAGGGGAAGUUAGAUUCCCAAGGAGAAUCCCCGAAAUUAAUCGAACAAUCCUUGUACCAGAACAUUUUAAAUGCAUCAUCUCCUAUCAUUCUCGCAACAGCUCUCUGAGGUCUGCUCUUGGGCUGAAUGAAAACAGUUUCCUUGUAUGAACGAGGGAAAAACAGUACAGAAUAGGACAGGGUGAAUCGUCCCACAAGACGCCACUGCAUCUACCACCCACGUCACUUCUACUGAUUGUUGCUACUUUGAAAACCUGUCUAGGAGUUCUGUGGGUGGAUAUUUUUUGGGUGCUGUUGUUUUUAUCUUAGGAACAUCCUAAUCUUGAAGGAGACAGGUCAGGAUUUCUUCCCUCAGUCAACCAGCAAGCAC
rnacentral:lncRNA from 1 species